rnacentral:rRNA from 1 species
AUUGAACGCUGGCGGCAUGCCUUACACAUGCAAGUCGAACGGUAACGGGCCUUCGGGUGCCGACGAGUGGCGAACGGGUGGGUAAUGUAUCGGAACGUACCUUUCAGUGGGGGAUAACGUAGCGAAAGUUAAGCUAAUACCGCAUAUUCUUGGAGCAGGAAAGCAGGGGAGAGCAAGACCUUGCGCUGAUUGAGCGGGCGAUAUCAGAUUAGCUAGUUGGUGAGGUAAAGGCUCACCAAGGCGACGAUCUGUAGCGGGUUUGAGAGGAUGAUCCGCCACACUGGAACUGAGACACGGUCCAGACUCCUACGGGAGGCAGCAGUGGGGAAUUUUGGACAAUGGGGGCAACCCUGAUCCAGCCAUGCCGCGUGAGUGAAGAAGGCCUUCGGGUUGUAAAGCUCUUUCGGCCGGGAAGAAAUCGUAUGGGUUAAUACCCUGUGCGGAUGACGGUACCGGCAUAAGAAGCACCGGCUAACUACGUGCCAGCCGCCGCGGUAACAC